GAUACUAAAAUAAUUUUUAAAACAAUACAUAAAUUGAAAAUAUAAGAAAAAGUGGUUAUGUUCAAAUUGAAACAAGUUAGAACUAAAAUAAUAACCAAAUUAAUAAUAAAACAAAAGUUCUACAUAGAGAAUUCAUCAAACUUGAGUGCAGGAUCCUGCAGCUUGUCACUAUUUUCCAUUUUGAGAUAUUUUCAACAAUUAAUUCCAUGGGUACAGAUUAAAGGGCACUUAUAGCAAUUUCCACCUUAAUAAUAAGCACCUGAAAAAGGCCUUGCAACAUUCUAUACAGCAAAUUGUUAGACAUUCUCAUGUACCAUGCACACAUACAAAAAAAAAACAUUUAGACUAUCUGACUUUCUUAUUGUCUUCGUAGUACUCGUUCAUGAAAUAUGAAACUAAAGACAUAGAUGUUAUUAAAGGGAAUAUGCACUAAAUAAAUUAUCACAGAGCCACUAAGGUCUUUUAUUUGUAUCUUUUAUCUGUACCUUUAUCCAUACUAAGUUAGGACAAAUGUAGCAAUGAGUAAAUCUUAGGAUGAAAUGGGCUAAAAACACACACCACAGCAAUCAACAAAAAGGUGAAUAUCUCUAGAAGUUUUUGAUGUUUCCUAUUAGCAGCUAAGACAUAUAUGUAUCUUUAGUGAAUAACAUAUUAUUAGUAAAUGGAUUAAUAUCUUAGUAGGCCAAAAUUUGAGUAUUUUGCUUGACUGCAUUUAACGACAAUGACCUUAGAAACCUUUGGUACUCAACUAAUAAUCAAGUUUUUUUUCUUUCCCUUGAAUAAUAAAAUGAUCUAUGGAUAUACUCAGGAGGAUCACAAAACUUAUAGGAUGAUAUUUAAGAAAGAAAAAAAAGUAUAACCAAAAGGACAUUGAUCAAAGACUACAAAUGGAGUGAAACUAUGAUUAAGUGGCAGAAACAUUCUAUUAAAUGGAGCAUGGUAUUUACGUGAUCAUAGACAUUAUUCUUUAUCCGAAAUAGAACCCACAUUAUUCUUCCUAAUUCUAAUAUAUUAAUGCUUAUUAUUUAAAAUAUUAUUAAAUGGCCAAAUAGAGGAUUCUAAAACCUAAAUAGCAAUUUGAUACAUUGGAACAUUUAUGCUAUUCCUUAAAAAAAUAAUUCUCAAUUACUAAAAUAAAACACAAAACCAAGCUUUGAUAAAGUUAAAAAAAGAAGAAGAAAAAGAACAAGUAUUCAAAAAGAAUAGAAAAAAGAAACUCUGUCAUAGAUCCAACAACCAACAUUACUAACCAAAAUAAUUGAAAAACAAAGUGCCAAUAGCUACAAUUAAAAAUAUUUUAAAAAGAAGAAGAAGAAGCUUACUGUGUUGUGGCUGUGGGUAGUAUGAGGAAGAAGUAGAGGCUUUCUGAGAUAAAGUAAGGCACAGUAGCAGUAUGAGGAACCUAAGGACCAAAGAGGCUUAAUUUAUAUAGCCAAACUUAAAUAAUAACUAAAGCAAAAAUUAGACCUAAGUGGUAAAUGAAGAAGAAGCUUACAACUUGUGGGGAGCUUCGAGACCACAAAUAAAGAAGCUAAAGACAAUGAGUUGAGCUGAGCUGAGCUUGAGGCUAGUAGGUUGUUUGAUAUAAGCAGGUGGGAGGUGGAGACUAGAGAUGAAUGGGUAUUUGGGAAGUUUGGCCGACAAAUAGCACUACUGGAUCGGUGGAUCGGUGGAGGUGGUGGUGAGUUAGGGAUUUUGAUUUUGGAAAUGAGAAUAAAGGGGAGGAAGAGGAGGAUACGAAAUGAAAGUGAAACUAAAA
rnacentral:lncRNA from 1 species